GGUAAAUCCUGCCCAGUGAUUCAUUCAACGGCCGCGGUAUCCUGACCGUGCAAAGGUAGCAUAAUCAUUUGCCUAUUAAUUGUAGGCUAGCAUGAAAGGACAAACGAAAAUAUCCCUGUCUCCUUUAAGCCAGUAAAAAUUUAUCUUUAAGUGAAGAAGCUUAAAUAAUUAUGCAGGACAAGAAGACCCUAUAGAGCUUUACCUAAACAUUACAUUAUAGGUAAUUAAGGGUUCGGUUGGGGCGACCUGGGGACAUAAAUCACCCCUUAAAAUUUAGACAGACACGUCAUUAAAAAGAUCCUAAACUAAGAUCAAUGAAUCAAGCUACCUUAGGGAUAACAGGCUAAUCCUCUUAGAGAGCCCUUAUCGACAAGAGGGGUUGGCACCUCGAUGUUGGCUUAGGACUUCUUUACGCCGCAGCAGGCGUAACCGGAUGGUUUGUUCAACCAUUAAAUUCCUACGUGAUCUGAGUUCAAACCGG
rnacentral:rRNA from 1 species